rnacentral:rRNA from 1 species
GUGCCAGCAGCCGCGGUAAUACGUAGGGGGCAAGCGUUGUCCGGAUUUAUUGGGCGUAAAGAGCUCGUAGGUGGUUCCGUAAGUCGCGAAGUCAAAUCUCUGGGCUCAACCCAGAAUCGCUUCCGAUACUGCGGUGACUGGAGUCCGGUAGGGGAGCGUGGAAUUCCUGGUGUAGCGGUGAAAUGCGCAGAUAUCAGGAGGAACACCAACAGCGAAGGCAGCGCUCUGGGCCGGUACUGACACUGAGGAGCGAAAGCGUGGGGAGCGAACAGGAUUAGAUACCCCGGUAGUCC